rnacentral:rRNA from 1 species
AUUUGAAAUCUGGCUCUUUCAGAGUCCGAGUUGUAAUUUGUAGAGGAUGCUUCGGCUUACGUUUCGGUCUAAGUUCCUUGGAACAGGACGUCACAGAGGGUGAGAAUCCCGUUUGUGGCCGAGACUUCCGCCAUGUGAAGCUCCUUCGACGAGUCGAGUUGUUUGGGAAUGCAGCUCUAAAUGGGAGGUAAAUUUCUUCUAAAGCUAAAUACCGGCCAGAGACCGAUAGCGCACAAGUAGAGUGAUCGAAAGAUGAAAAGCACUUUGGAAAGAGAGUUAAAAAGUACGUGAAAUUGUUGAAAGGGAAGCGCUUGCGACCAGACUUGCCCGCGGAUGCUCAACCGGUCCUUCGGCCGGUGCACUCUUCCGCGGUCAGGCCAGCAUCAGUUCGAGCGGUUGGAUAAAGGCCUUGGGAAUGUGGCUCUCUUCGGGGAGUGUUAUAGCCCUUGGUGUAAUACAGCCUGCUUGGACUGAGGCCCGCGCUUCGGCUAGGAUGCUGGCGUAAUGGUCGUAAGCGGCCCGUCUUGAAACACGGACCAAGGAGUCUAACAUCUAUGCGAGUGUUUGGGUGUCAAACCCGUACGCGAAAUGAAAGUAAACGGAGGUGGGAAUCUUCGGAUGCACCAUCGACCGAUCCUGAUGUCUUCGGAUGGAUUUGAGUAAGAGCAUAGCUGUUGGGACCCGAAAGAUGGUGAACUAUGCCUGAAUAGGGUGAAGCCAGAGGAAACUCUGGUGGAGGCUCGCAGCGGUUCUGACGUGCAAAUCGAUCGUCAAAUUUGGGUAUAGGGGCGAAAG